rnacentral:rRNA from 1 species
AUUGAACGCUGGCGGCAGGCUUAACACAUGCAAGUCGAGCGAGCGGCGGACGGGUGAGUAAUGUCUGGGAAACUGCCUGAUGGAGGGGGAUAACUACUGGAAACGGUAGCUAAUACCGCAUACCAUCAGAUGUGCCAGGAUGGGAUUAGCUAGUAGGGGGGGUAAUGGCUCACCUAGGCGACGACCCCUAGCUGGUCUGAGAGGAUGACAAGCCACAAUGGAACUGAGACAGGGGCCAGACUCCUAGGGGAGGAAGGAGGGGGGAAUAUUGCACAUGGGGCGAAAGCCUGAUGCAGCCAUGGCGGGUGUGUGAAGAAGGCCUUCGGGGUGUAAAGCACUUUCAGCGAGGAGGCGUUACUCGCAGAAGAAGCACCGGCUAACUCCGUGCCAGCAGCCGCGGUAAUU